CCUACGGGAGGCAGCAGUGGGGAAUAUUGCACAAUGGGGGAAACUCUGAUGCAGCGACGCCGCGUGAGUGAUGAAGUUUCUCGGUUUGUAAAGCUCUAUUCGCAGGGAAGAAAAUGACGGUACUUGCCUAAGAAUCCGCGGCUACCUACGUCCCAGCAGCAGCGGCAAUACGAAGGGGGAAAGCGUUAUCCGGCUUCACUGGGGGGAAAGGGGGCGUAGACGGUGCUGCAAGUACGGAGUGAAAGUCCAAGGCUUAACCAUGGUACUGCUCCUGAAACUGUUGGACUUGAGGGCGGGAGGGGCAGGCGGAAUUCCUAGUGUAGCGGUGGAAUGCGUAGAUAUUAGGAGGAACACCGGCGGCGAAGGCGGGCUGCUAGACCGUAACUGACGCUGAGGCUCGAAAGCGUGGGGAGCAAACAGGAUUAGAUACCCUUGUAGUC
rnacentral:rRNA from 1 species